rnacentral:lncRNA from 1 species
CAUCUCCUUCACCUCCCCCUCCAUAUAUUUAUAAAUCUCCACCACCACCUUCUCCUUCACCUCCUCCACCAUAUUUCUACAAGUCUCCCCCACCUCCUUCACCUUCACCACCUCCUCCAUACUACUACAAAUCUCCUCCUCCACCUUCCCCAUCACCUCCUCCACCAUAUGUCUACAAGUCUCCUCCACCUCCUCCACCUUCACCACCUCCUCCUUAUAUUUACAAAUCCCCACCACCACCAUCUUCAUCACCUCCUCCAUAUCAUCCCUACCUCUACAACUCACCCCCACCUCCCAUUUAUUAAGCUUACGGCUA